rnacentral:rRNA from 1 species
GUACACACCGCCCGUCACACCAUGGGAGUCAGCAACGCCCGAAGUCAGUGACCUAACCAUAAAGGGAGGAGCUGCCGAAGGCGGGGCCGGUAACUGGGGUGAAGUCGUAACAAGGUACC